GUGUUUUCCUUUUUCUUAAGCUAACUCCUGAUCCCAUUGAGGGACAUCAAGGGCAGUAGUUUGAAGAAAGCCUCAUCCUUGGCCCUGCUUUUCCGGGAAGCCGACCUUCCCUCUACCCUGGUGGUGCCAUCAUUAGGGCGUGUGGCCGAAGGAGGCAAAUUGUUAGGUGCAAUCAGGAAGCCGUGUCUGCAUCCCAUGGCUGAGGGACAGCCAGGAUGACACUUAGGCUGUCUCUCACUCCAUCCUCUUUGGGGAGUCUGGGAUGCUCUCAGAGAGCGGGGUGAAGCCCAGCAGGAGGACAUGUCUCUCGUAGGCCUUGGUCUGCU
rnacentral:lncRNA from 1 species